rnacentral:misc_RNA from 1 species
GAUGAAGAACGUAGCGAAAUGCGAUAAGUAAUGUGAAUUGCAGAAUUCAGUGAAUCAUCGAAUCUUUGAACGCACAUUGCGCCCGGGAGCAUUCUCCCGGGCAUGCCUGUUCGAGCGUCAUUUCAACCCUCGAUUUCCCUUUGGGGAAGUCGGCCGUUGGAGAUCGGCAGCACUGCCGGCUCCCAAAUACAGUGGCGACCCGCCGCGGGGACCCCUGCGUAGUAACUUACACUCGCACCGGAAACCAGACGUGUCACGCCGUAAAACCCCCAACUUUCUGAACGUUGACCUCGGAUCAGGUAGGAAUACCCGCUGAACUUAAGCAUAUCAAUAAGUGGAGGA